UUGUAAGCGACUGCGGAGGACAUU
rnacentral:rRNA from 1 species